rnacentral:rRNA from 1 species
CCUACGGGUGGCAGCAGUGGGGGAUAUUGCACAAUGGGGGAAACCCUGAUGCAGCGACGCCGCGUGUGGGAAGACGGUCCUCUGGAUUGUAAACCACUGUCCCCAGGGACGAAGAUGACGGUACCUUGGGAGGAAGCUCCGGCUAACUACGUGCCAGCAGCCGCGGUAAUACGUAGGGAGCGAGCGUUGUCCGGAAUUACUGGGUGUAAAGGGAGCGUAGGCGGGAUAUAAAGUUGAAUGUAUAAACUACCGGCUAAACCGAUAGAAGCGUUCAAAACUGAUAUUCUUGAGUGAAGUAGAGGCAGGCGGAAUUCCUAGUGUAGCGGUGAAAUGCGUAGAUAUUAGGAGGAAAACCAGUGGCGAAGGCGGCCUGCUGGACUUUAACUGACGCUGAGGCUCGAAAGCGUGGGUAGCAAACAGGAUUAGAUACCCCUGUAGUC